ACCAGUGUAGCAUAGUGGUAAGGAGCAGGACUCGUAACCGAAAGGUUGCUGGUUCGAUCCUCCCGCUGGGG
rnacentral:tRNA from 1 species